rnacentral:piRNA from 1 species
UCUCUCUUGCUCUUGCUCUUCAGGGUU